rnacentral:rRNA from 1 species
GUGUCAGCCGCCGCGGUAAGACGAACCGUGCAAACGUUAUUCGGAAUCACUGGGCUUAAAGGGCGCGUAGGCGGGUCCUCAAGUCAGGGGUGAAAUCCCACGGCUCAACCGUGGAAGUGCCUUUGAUACUGGGGGUCUCGAGGGAGGUAGGGGCGUGCGGAACUUCCGGUGGAGCGGUGAAAUGCGUAGAUAUCGGAAGGAACACCGGUGGCGAAAGCGGCGCGCUGGACCUCUUCUGACGCUGAGGCGCGAAAGCCAGGGGAGCAAACGGGAUUAGAAACCCCUGUAGUCC